rnacentral:rRNA from 1 species
CCUACGGGGGGCUGCAGUGAGGAAUAUUGGUCAAUGGGCGCAAGCCUGAACCAGCCAAGUAGCGUGCAGGAUGACGGCCCUAUGGGUUGUAAACUGCUUUUAUGCGGGGAUAAAGUGAGGGACGUGUCCCUCAUUGCAGGUACCGCAUGAAUAAGGACCGGCUAAUUCCGUGCCAGCAGCCGCGGUAAUACGGAAGGUCCGGGCGUUAUCCGGAUUUAUUGGGUUUAAAGGGAGCGUAGGCCGUGGAUUAAGCGUGUUGUGAAAUGUAGACGCUCAACGUCUGACUUGCAGCGCGAACUGGUCCACUUGAGUGUGCACAACGCAGGCGGAAUUCGUCGUGUAGCGGUGAAAUGCUUAGAUAUGACGAAGAACCCCGAUUGCGAAGGCAGCUUGCGGGAGCAC